AUUGAACGCUGGCGGCAUGCCUUACACAUGCAAGUCGAACGGUAACAGGUCUUCGGAUGCUGACGAGUGGCGAACGGGUGAGUAAUACAUCGGAACGUGCCCGAUCGCGGGGGAUAACGAAGCGAAAGCUUUGCUAAUACCGCAUAAGAUCUAAGGAUGAAAGCAGGGGACCGCAAGGCCUUGCGCGAGUGGAGCGGACGAUGGCAGAUUAGGUAGUUGGUGGGAUAAAAGCUGACCAAGCCGACGAUCUGUAGCUGGUCUGAGAGGACGACCAGCCACACUGGGACUGAGACACGGCCCAGACUCCUACGGGAGGCAGCAGUGGGGAAUUUUGGACAAUGGGCGAAAGCCUGAUCCAGCCAUGCCGCGUGCAGGAUGAAGGCCUUCGGGUUGUAAACUGCUUUUGUACGGAACGAAAAGACUCUUUCUAAUAAAGAGGGUCCAUGACGGUACCGUAAGAAUAAGCACCGGCUAACUACGUGCCAGCCGCCGCAGUAA
rnacentral:rRNA from 1 species